UACGAAGGGUGCAAACGUUAUUCGGAAUUACUGGGCGUAAAGCGUGCGCAGGCGGUUGGUUAAGUCUGAUGUGAAAGCCCCGGGCUCAACCUGGGAAUGGCAUUGGAAACUGGCUGGCUAGAGUGUGGCAGAGGGGGGUGGAAUUCCGCGUGUAGCAGUGAAAUGCGUAGAGAUGCGGAGGAACACCGAUGGCGAAGGCAGCCCCCUGGGCUGACACUGACGCUCAGGCACGAAAGCGUGGGGAGCAAACAGG
rnacentral:rRNA from 1 species